rnacentral:rRNA from 1 species
UACGUAGGGUGCGAGCGUUAAUCGGAAUUACUGGGCGUAAAGCGUGCGCAGGCGGUUUUGUAAGUCAGAUGUGAAAUCCCCCGGGCUUAACCUGGGAACUGCGUUUGAAACUACAAGGCUAGAGUGUGGCAGAGGGGGGGUGGAAUUCCACGUGUAGCAGUGAAAUGCGUAGAGAUGUGGAGGAACACCGAUGGCGAAGGCAGCCCCCCUAGGUUAACACUGACGCUCAGGCACGAAAGCGUGGGGAGCAAACAGG